rnacentral:piRNA from 1 species
UGUUGGUGAAGAUGGGUAAAAUCCUGC